rnacentral:rRNA from 1 species
CCUACGGGAGGCUGCAGUGGGGAAUAUUGCACAAUGGGGGAAACCCUGAUGCAGCGACGCCGCGUGAGUGAAGAAGUAAUUCGUUAUGUAAAGCUCUAUCAGCAGGGAAGAAAAUGACGGUACCUGAGUAAGAAGCCCCGGCUAACUACGGGCCAGCAGCCGCGGUAAUCCGUAGGGGGCAAGCGUUAUCCGGAUUUACUGGGUGUAAAGGGAGCGGAGACGGCAGUGCAAGUCUGGAGUGAAAGGCGUGGGCUCAACCCCCGGACUGCGGUGGAAACUGGACGGCUGGAGUGCAGGAGAGGUAAGUGGAAUUCCUAGUGUAGCGGUGAAAUGCGUAGAUAUUAGGAGGAACACCAGUGGCGAAGGCGGCUUACUGGACUGUAACUGACGUUGAGGCUCGAAAGCGUGGGGAGCAAACAGGAUUAGAUACCCCAGUAGUC